AUGCCCUUAGUGGCAUGUUUUAACAAUUGUCAACUGGACAUAGCAAUGUGUUUUAAGGAGUUCGACAAUAGUGGGUGGAGCCAGGAUUCUGUCAUGUGUGCAUGUAGGUGGGUGGCCAUUGUGGUGGGACUUAGCGCACAUUUGCACUUGACUAACUUGACAUUAGACGAUGAGUUUGACGCAUUACUUACACUUAGUCAAUCGAUGGCACAAACAAAACAGAUACAAGUGCCUGAUCAAAGCCUAAACAAACAAAAGAGACGAAACAUUGUGCACAUUUUUGGGAGUUUAGAAAAACAUUGUGUAUUUGUGCAGUAG
rnacentral:rRNA from 1 species